UUGUAGGCUGAAACUCGCCUACAUGAAGCUGGAGUUACUAGUAAUCGCAGAUCAGAAUGCUGCGGUGAAUGCGUUCCCGGGUCUUGUACACACCGCCCGUCACACCACGGAAGUUGGGGGCGCCCGAAGCCACUUAGCUAACCCUUUUGGGAAGCGAGUGUCGAAGGUGAAAUCAAUAACUGGGGUGAAGUCGUAACAAGGUAGC
rnacentral:rRNA from 1 species